CAGGGGGUAUUUUAUGUAAAAUAUUAGUUUUGGGGAUUAAUGAAAUGGCUUUGUGCUUUUCCCCUGA
rnacentral:tRNA from 1 species